rnacentral:lncRNA from 1 species
UAGGUUAUCCUAAAGAAAGUAUAGGAUACCUCUUUUACCACCCUAAUGGACAAAAGGUGUUUAUCAGUAAACAUGCUACUUUUAUAAAAAAAGAAUUUAUCCUAGAAAGAGGUAGUGGGAAAAAAUUGAACUUAGAAAAAUUCAAGACCUAUAGAUAAAAAUACAAGAUAAUCUUCAACCAGAAGUAUCCAUUGAAGAAGUACAACCACAAAAUACACCUUCUCUUUGA